rnacentral:rRNA from 1 species
UAAUACGAAGGGGGCUAGCGUUGUUCGGAAUUACUGGGCGUAAAGCGCACGUAGGCGGGUUGUUAAGUCAGGGGUGAAAUCCCGGAGCUCAACUCCGGAACUGCCUUUGAUACUGGCAAUCUAGAGGCUGGAAGAGGUUAGUGGAAUUCCCAGUGUAGAGGUGAAAUUCGUAGAUAUUGGGAAGAACACCAGUGGCGAAGGCGGCUAACUGGUCCAGUACUGACGCUGAGGUGCGAAAGCGUGGGGAUCAAACAGG